rnacentral:RNase_P_RNA from 1 species
AGACAACAGAAGGUAUCUACUGCUCUAGUAAAAUAGGGGAGAGGAAAGUCUGGACAUCAUGAAAACAGCAUAAAGGAUAACAACCUUGCACUGAAAAUAUAAAUAUUAAAUUUCAGUGACAGAUAGUGCCACAGAAACUAUACUAAUUGUUUUUUAUUUUAAAUUUCCUUUUUUUCUAAAAAACAAUGAAAGAUGAAAAGUCAUUUGAUGUAAAUAUUUAUAAUUUUAAGACUUGUUUUUAAGUAAUAAGUAUUUGCUACAGAUGAAAUCUUAUAGCAAUGUAAGAAUUUUGGUAAACCUUAUGUGAUGCAAUGGGAAUGGUUUUUUAUAGAGAUUAUUGUUUUCUACUGUUUUUAUAAAAAAUACUCAGCUCGAGCUAAUUAGUAAUUUUUAGCCUAGAUAGAUUGAUACCUAGAUACAAAAUCCGGCUUAUUACUGUUGUCUUUUU